rnacentral:rRNA from 1 species
CACGUAGUUAGCCGUCCCUUUCUGGUAAGAUACCGUCACAGUGUGAACUUUCCACUCCCACACCCGUUCUUCUCUUACAACAGAGCUUUACGAUCCGAAAACCUUCUUCACUCACGCGGCGUUGCUCGGUCAGACUUUCGUCCAUUGCCGAAGAUUCCCUACUGCUGCCUCCCGUAGGAGUCUGGGCCGUGUCUCAGUCCCAGUGUGGCCGAUCACCCUCUCAGGUCGGCUAUGUAUCGUCGCCUAGGUGAGCCGUUACCUCACCUACUAGCUAAUACAACGCAGGUCCAUCUGGUAGUGGUGCAAUUGCACCUUUCAAUUAAUUAUCAUGCAAUAAUUAAUAUUAUGCGGUAUUAGCUAUCGUUUCCAAUUAGUUACUCCCCGCUACCAGGCAGGUUACCACGCGUUACUCACCCGUUCGCAACUCACAGUCUAUGUGUAGCAAGCUACGGUAUAACUGUGCGUUUCUACUUGCUAGUGUAUUAGGCACGCCGCCAGGCCGUUCUCCG